UUUUAGAUGUUUGUUUGUUUUUUUUUUUUUUUUUAAGCAAAAUUGGGACACUUAUCAGAAGUGAGAGAAUGGAUGAUAGAUGCAAAAUGAUACCUGUCCACAACAAACUCUUAAUGCUGUGUUUGAGCAUCCUUGAAUUUCCCAGAGAGACAUUUUUGGAAAAUUCCUAAAAUUUCAACAAGUAUCUAAUGUUUGGCCAUGCUCACAGUCUCACAUCUGGUUGGGGUGGGCUCCUCACAGAACACACUUUCACAGUUACCCUAAACUCUCUGGGGCGGGGUUAUUCCUUUGUGGAACCAGAGGCACGGAGAGAGUCAACUGAGGCCAAAACAGGCCUGGGACAAACUGAGGUCAAGAUUUCAUUAGGAUUAAUGGUCCUGUGAUGCUUUCAAGUCUAAUUGCGGAUUUGUCCAAUUCACUUCAGUUCUGUCAGCUUUUGCUUCAUACAUUUUAGAGCUCUGUUGUUAGAUACAUACACAUUUAGUAUUAUGUCUUCUUGAUGCAUUUACUCUCUUAUCAUUAUGUAAUGUACUUUUUUAUCUCUGAUAAUUUUCUGUUUUCUGAAGUCUACUUUGUCUAAAAAUAAGAUAGGCACUCAAGUUUCUUUUGAUUAUUGUUUUCGGGCUUUACCUUUUUCUAUCAUGUUACUUUAAAUAUAUCUAUAUUAUUGCAUUUAAAAUGUGUUUCUUACAGACUACAUGUAGUUGGGUCUUAUUUUUAUCCAGUCUGAAAAUAUCUGUCUUCAAUUGGUGUUUAGACAAUUUAUAUUUAAUAAAAUUGUUGAAUUUGA